AGGUGAACCUGCGGAAGGAUCAUUAACAGGAUUCCUGCCUUAUAGGUAGAAACCCCACCCGUGUGUACCUAUGUAUAUCUUGCUUUGGCAGGUCCGCCUGCCGAAGGAACCCUUAACUCUGUUUGUUAGUGUCGUCUGAGUACUAUCUAAUAGUUAAAACUUUCAACAACGGAUCUCUUGGUUCUGGCAUCGAUGAAGAACGCAGCGAAAUGCGAUAAGUAAUGUGAAUUGCAGAAUUCAGUGAAUCAUCGAAUCUUUGAACGCACAUUGCGCCCCUUGGUAUUCCGAGGGGCAUGCCUGUCCGAGCUUCAUUAAAACCACUCCUGCCCACAAAUGGCGGGGUCUUGGGCUUCGCCACAAGGCGGGUCUUAAAUGCAGUGGCGGUGCCGUGCCAGCUCUAAGCGUAGUAAAUCUCCUCGCUAUAGACGCUGCGCGUGCCCUAGCCAGCAACCUCAAAUCUUCAAGGUUGAACUCGGAUCAGGUAGGGAUACCCGCUGAACUUAAGCAUAUCA
rnacentral:rRNA from 1 species